UACAGAGGUCUCAAGCGUUGUUCGGAUUCAUUGGGCGUAAAGGGUGUGUAGGUGGCGCCGUAAGUCGGGUGUGAAAUUUCGGGAGCUUAACUCCGAAACUGCAUUCGAUAACUGCGGUGCUUGAGGACUGGAGAGGAGACUGGAAUUCAUGGUGUAGCAGUGAAAUGCGUAGAGAUCACGAGGAAGACCAGUGGCGAAGGCGG
rnacentral:rRNA from 1 species